rnacentral:rRNA from 1 species
UUUGAUCCUGGYUYARGAUGAACGCUGGCGGCGUGCCUAAUACAUGCAAGUCSAACGAGGUGCUUAAGUAGCAAUACAAGAGUAUCCUAGUGGCGAACGGGUGAGUAACGCGUUGGUGACCUACCCCAAAGUGUGGGAUAACAGUCCGAAAGGAUUGCUAAUACCGCAKGKGGUUAUUGGAUCUAGAAACUGAUAACUAAAGGAGCAAUUCGCUUUGGGAGGGACCUGCGUCCCAUCMGCUAGUUGGUGAGGUAACGGCUCACCAAGGCUACGACGGGUAGGGGACCUGAGAGGGUGGCCCCCCACAAUGGAACUGAAACACGGUCCAUACACCUACGGGUGGCAGCAGUAGGGAAUAUUGCACAAUGGGCGAAAGCCUGAUGCAGCAACGCCGCGUGUGCGAKGAAGGCCUUCGGGUCGUAAAGCACUUUUCUGAGAGAUGAGAAAGGACAGUAUCUCAGGAAUAAGUCUCGGCUAACUACGUGCCAGCAGCCGCGGUAACACGUAGGAGGCGAGCGUUAUCCGGAUUCACUGGGCGUAAAGCGCGUGCAGGCGGUUUGGUAAGUUGAUCGUGAAAGCUCCCGGCUCAACUGGGAGAGGUCGGUCAAUACUACYMAACUAKAGAGUAGAAGAGGAAGAUGGAAUUCCCGGUGUAGUGGUGAAAUGCGUAGAUAUCGGGAGGAAYACCAGUGGCGAAGGCGAUCUUCUGGUCUAUUUCUGACGCUCAGACGCGACAGCUAGGGUAGWAAACGGGAUUAGAGACCCGGUAAWYCCUAGCCGUAAACGAUGUGAACUUGGCGUCSGUGGGYUUAAACWCCAUCGGUGCCGAASCMAACGCKAUAKUUCACCSKCUGGGGGACUACGGCCGCCAGGUUAAACUCAARGAAUUGACGGGGSCCYSCMMCAGGCAGCGGAGCGUGKGGUUUAAYU